rnacentral:rRNA from 1 species
UACGAAGGGGGCUAGCGUUGCUCGGAAUCACUGGGCGUAAAGCGCACGUAGGCGGGUCGUUAAGUCGGGGGUGAAAUCCUGGAGGCUCAACUCCAGAACUGCCUUCGAUACUGGCGACCUUGAGUCCGGGAGAGGUGAGUGGAACUCCGAGUGUAGAGGUGAAAUUCGUAGAUAUUCGGAAGAACACCAGUGGCGAAGGCGAGCUCUCUGGGACGGUACUGGACGCUGAGACGCGAAAGCGUGGGGAGCGAACGAG